rnacentral:tRNA from 1 species
CAUCCGUAGUUCAGUUGGUUAGAAUACUCGGCUACGAACCGAGCGGUCGGAGGUUCGAAUCCUCCCGGAUGCACCA